rnacentral:ncRNA from 1 species
ACCCGCACAAGCGGUGGAGCAUGUGGUUUAAUUCGACACUAAGCGAGGAACCUUACCUGGGCUUGAAAUCUAGCUGCAAGCCGCCGGAAACGGUGGCCGCCUUCGAGGGUGCUAGGUAGGUGCUGCAUGGUUGUCGUCAGCUCGUGGCGUGAGCUGUUCCCUUAAGUGGGGUAACGAGCGCAACCCCUAUCCCGUGUUACUUGUCACGGGAGACUGCCCUCGUAAGAGGGAGGAAGGUGGGGAUGACGUCAAAUCAGCAUGGCCCUUACGUCCAGGGCGACACACGUGCUACAAUGGUCGGUACAAUGGGUUGCCAAGCAGCAAUGCGGAGCUAAUCCUCAAAGCCGAUCUCAGUUCGGAUCGAGGGCUGCAACUCGCCCUCGUGAAGCCGGAAUCGCUAGUAACGGCCAAUCAGCUAUGUGGCCGUGAAUACGUUCUCGGGUCUUGUACUCACCGCCCGUCACGCCAAGAGAGCCGGGGGUGCCCGAACGUCGCCGUAGGGCGGCGGAAGGCAAAACCGGUGAUAGGGGCGAAGUCGUAACAAGGCACCCGUAGCGGAAGCUGUGGGUGGAUCACCUCCUUU